rnacentral:snRNA from 1 species
GUGCUUGCUUCAGCACCAAAAGUGGAAUGAUACAGAGAAGAUUAGCAUGGCCCCUGCGCAAGGAUGACACACAAAUUCGUGAAGCAUUCCAUAUUCUU